AAAACCCCUGUAGAUGGCUGGCUGCUAGGUGACUCAGGAUAUCCAAGUCGUUCAUGGCUCUUGACGCCCAUUCUAGAGGCACACACACGCCCAGAAGAGCGAUACAAUAGUUGUCACUGCAGAACAAGAAAUGUAGUAGAAAGGGCCUUUGGCGUUUUAAAAUCAAGAUUCAGAUGUCUACACAAGAGCACUGGCUGCCUUCCCUUCACCCCAGCAAAAAGCUCCAAAAUUAUAAUGGCCUGCUUCAAGCUGCACAAUUUUU